GAUGAACGCUGGCGGCGUGCCUAAUACAUGCAAGUCGAGCGAACGGACGAGAAGCUUGCUUCUCUGAUGUUAGCGGCGGACGGGUGAGUAACACGUGGAUAACCUACCUAUAGGACUGGGAUAACUUCGGGAAACCGGAGCUAAUACCGGAUAAUAUUUUGAACCGCAUGGUUCAAAAGUGAAAGACGGUCUUGCUGUCACUUAUAGAUGGAUCCGCGCUGCAUUAGCUAGUUGGUAAGGUAACGGCUUACCAAGGCAACGAUGCAUAGCCGACCUGAGAGGGUGAUCGGACACACUGGAACUGAGACACGGUCCAGACUCCUACGGGAGGCAGCAGUAGGGAAUCUUCCGCAAUGGGCGAAAGCCUGACGGAGCAACGCCGCGUGAGUGAUGAAGGUCUUCGGAUCGUAAAACUCUGUUAUUAGGGAAGAACAUAUGUGUAAGUAACUGUGCACAUCUUGACGGUACCUAAUCAGAAAGCCACGGCUAACUACGUG
rnacentral:rRNA from 1 species